rnacentral:lncRNA from 1 species
AUAUAUAUAUAUAUAGGGAAAGUUUCUGGAACGGCUGGUCUUUCGAACGUUCCCCCGUACGACACCAAAUCUGACCGUCCAUUCAUAGAUGCCGGAACUACAUCCGUUCACGAUCGCGAACGUUCCACCAUCGCGGUAGCUCCAGAGUUCCGCGGAGUUGCGUCAGUUCCGCGGAGUUCCGUCAGCUCCAGAACUGUUCCACCAGAUUCCGAACUUGAGGAUUGAUCAAUCCUCAAGUUAUCAAUCAUUGGGGGUUAUCAAUCCUCAAGUUCGGAAUCCCGCGGAACCUCUGGAGCUGACGCAACUCCGCGGAACCCAUCGCGAACUGCAAUCUCCGCGAUGGUGGAACAGUUCUGUCACCGAACAGUUCCGCAGAGUUGCGUCAGCUCCAGAGGUUCCGCGGGACUGCAAUCCGAACUUGUCGGGGUUAUCAAUCAUUGGGGGUUAUCAAUCCUCAAGUUCGGAAUCCCGCGGAACCUCUGGAGCUGACGCAACUCCGCGGAACCCAUCGCGAACUGCAAUCUCCGCGAUGGUGGAACAGUUCUGUCACCGAACAGUUCCGCAGAGUUGCGUCAGCUCCAGAGGUUCCGCGGGACUGCAAUCCGAACUUGUCGGGGUUAUCAAUCAUUGGGGGUUAUCAAUCCUCAAGUUCGGAAUCCCGCGGAACCUCUGGAGCUGACGCAACUCCGCGGAACCCAUCGCGAACUGCAAUCUCCGCGAUGGUGGAACAGUUCUG